AAGUUCUGUUGCUGCUUCACUUAGAUAAUGAAUUUGAUACAGCAGUAGCAAUACAGGGAUUUAACAUCUCCAGAAGAGACAGGAAUGCCUACGGAGGAGGUGUUGCUGCAUAUAUUGGGCCAUAUUCAUGUAAAGGUUAGCGAGGAUCUCAUGUCUACUGUUGAAGUGUUGUGGUUGCAGGUUCACCUGCCUUUAUCUGAAGUCAUCUUUUAGGGUGCUGCUCUAGGCCACCAAGUGCUAAGUCAGUAUCUGGAUAAUGUGUGACAUGCUUGAUAAUGUGUGAUGUUAAGAGGUCUAUUUUUUUGGGUGACCUGAUUUUAGACUGGUUUUCAUCAAGCUAUCCACUCAAGAGGAAGCUUCUUACUGUAACCAGUGCCUGUAAUCUGGCUCAGGUUAUCAGUCGACCUGCUUGAGUGUUUACAAACAGUACAGGGACUUCAUCAUCCAAGUGUAUUGAUCAUAUCUUUUACUAAUGCUGCAGAACUUUGUUCUGAAGCUGUAUCCACACCCAAUGGAUGUAGUGGCAGUGGCUAUAUCCAGAAAAGCCACGGUUCCAAAGGCUGGGCCUAAAAUGGUGUAUAAGAGAUCAUACACAAGAUGUUCUAGUGACGCCUGUGUUGGAGAUUUGUUGGUUUGUGUGUAAUGAGGGAGCAUCCAGACGCUGCACUUGAUGCAGUUAUGAAAUUGUUUCUUCCAGUUAUCGAUAAGCAUUAGUGGUGUAGCGGACCGUACGGAUCACCCCCACGGUUCGGCCCGCAUGUGAACCGCGGAUCAAUUGCAAAGUUUAACCAGCAUAGUGUGGAAUUCAGUUUUACUGCCACUGUUAUUUUUUAAAAGUAAUAAUUCCCUAAAUCUCGAUGCAGUGAAAAGAUGGACAAGACCGAUGCGUGCUGUCUUACUCUGAAGACAGAAGGUUUAUUUUUUUAUUUUUUUUUAAAGCAGUUGUGUGUACUAUUCACGUGAACGGGGCAUGUUAAAUCACAACAAAUCAAUCCUGGAUGCUUGCGUUGCAAAAAGCAAAGAAGAAAAAAGAGCAGUGACAGCCAUGGCAGGGGGAGGAGCUGAAGAACUGGAAAAGCCUCCCGCUUCAUUUAAGUCUCAUGUACGGGAGCAUUUUGUCUUCCCAGUCAAAUAUGAUGACGUAAGAAGGGUGGUGGACAACACCAUUAGGGUGUGUAGGCAUUGUGCCACGAGAAAGCCGCAUGAACGUGGAAAUACAUGGAGCGUGGCCACACAUUUAAGUGUCAUCACCCUGGUGUGUCAGUGACGGGAGCCAACUUAGCCAAGAGACAACUUCUCACCGCGGCAUCUAAGCCCUUUGCUGCAGAAUCAGACCGGGCUGAAGCCAUCACCAAAUCUAUUGGGAUGUUUAUCGCUGCAGACAUGAGGCCGUACUCUGUUGUGGAAAACAAAGGGUUUUAAAAUAUGGUAAACGUGCUUGAGCCACGCUACGAAAUCCCCUCGCGCAUCCACUUCAAUAUGAAGAUCGUGCCAGAUCUUUAUGAACAGGAAAAUAUCAAAAUUGUCAACUAAUUAUCCAAGGCAUCCCCUGUUGCCCUCACCACAGACGGGUGGACCUCCAGGGCAACGGAAAGCUACGUGACUGACUGCUCACUACACCACAGAGGAGUGUGAGAUGCGUAGUCCGGUGCUACAGACACGCCCCUUCAGAGACACAGGCACAAAUUUGGCGCAGGGACUGCUAGGAGCAGUAGCAGAGGAAGCUAGAGAGUCCCAAUAUAGCAAUAUCCCAACCACCACAGAUAAUGCCAAGAACCAAGUAAAUGCAGUGAUAGAGGCUGGACUGGGGCCACAGAUGGCUUGCUUUGCACAUGUGAUCAAUUUAGCAUCUCAAAGGGGAAUCUCAGUGAACCAGAUGGACCGCCUCCUUGCGAGGAUCAGGAAGGUGGUUUCCUUUUUUCACCGACGCACAACAGCCGGACGUGCUUAAGACCAAGCAAGAAAUGCUUACAGAAACCGACCCACUAGCUCAUACACGAUGUCACAACAAGUUGGCGCUCCAACAUGUCAUAAGUGGAGUUCCAUCUUGAGCAGCAGGCAGCUAUAUACUCUGCACUGACAGACAACACCCUGAAAAAAAAAAGACAUCUUCACCUUGUCUGAUGACGUGAAAGUGGCAGAGGAGGUCCUCCAGGUGCUCAAACCUCUCAACUUUUACAACCCUAUUGAGCACUGGAACUGCACUGUCUGUGUCCAUGAUCCUACCUCUGAAAACAAGGAUUCUACAAUCCAUGGCCCCAAGUGAGGAAGACAGCACCAUCAUCACUAGAGAUGCCAAGGCUGCCAUUAGAGAGGACCUGAACCCCAGUUACCCCCCUAAAAUGUACAGGACUACCUUCAUAGAUGGGGCGGCAGGUAGCCUAGUGGUUAGAGCGUUGGACUAGUAACCGAAAGGUUGCAAGAUCGAAUCCCCGAGCGGACAAGGUAAAAAUCUGUCGUUCUGCCCCUGAACAAGGCAGUUUAACCCACUGUUCCUAGGCUGUCAUUGAAAAUAAGAAUUUGUUCUUAACAGACUUGCCUAGUUAAAUAACGGUAAAGUAAAAAAAAAAAAAUCUAUCUACUGCACUGGAUCCAAGGUUCAAGUCCCUGUCUCACCGAGAACCUGCCCUACACCGGAGGACAUACAGUGAUCUCACCACUGAGAUUGUGGCCACUGAUGAGGGUCAAGCCACAGAGCUGACAGGAGCAGACUCGGAGGCCUCUCCGCCACAAAAUAAUUCGGCCAUGAAGGAGCUUUUCGGGGAGACCUUUGCGAGCAAGGACACAGGCAAGACGUUUGCAAGGCAGCAAGCGGCAUUCCCACUGGCAUGGUGGAAAAGCAAUGUGUGUAAAUACCCUCACAUUGCCAUGAUGGCAAGAAGUUACCCGACUGUGCCUGGCACUUCAGUUCCUGGCGAGAGGGCACGGCAGGGGACAUAGUGACUGCAAAGAGGUCUACCCUCUCCCCAGACAAUGUAGACCUCUUUUUGAAAAAUAAUUUAAGUUAUAAGCUCAGGUCUGCUUUGCUUUCUUAACCUCUUUUUUUUUUUUAAGAGGACACAGGCUUUUUUUUCAUUCACUAUUGUUCCAAGGAAGAAGUUAUCAUGCCUCAUAUUGCACUUUCAUUUAACAAUUGAGUAUUGAAUAUUUCAUUUUAAUAUUUUAUUUAAACAUUGAAAAGUUACUUGCUUCAAGUGCUCUUUAAGUAAUAAAGGGAAAGCAAAGUUA